rnacentral:lncRNA from 1 species
GUUCUUGACUUUACUAACUAGCGGGCCUUUUGCAAAAGAAAUACGUUUAAGUUGUUUUGAAUAAAAACUCCAUUUUAAUUGCUAUAAUUUUAUUUGUAACUCUUACAUAAGAAUACGACGAAAUAACUACUUUUUCUUUAUCAUACGAUGGAAGGACCUGAGGCAGCAUAUGUUCAGUCUGACCUUUAUGCUGAUGUAAUGGCAGAACCAGUUCAGCAAACGAAUACUCAAGAUCUAGAGAAUGGUGUAUUGCACAGAGGACCACUAGGUAUAGAGU